rnacentral:rRNA from 1 species
GAUGAACGCUGGCGGCGUGCCUAAUACAUGCAAGUCGAGCGAACAGACGAGGAGCUUGCUCCUCUGACGUUAGCGGCGGACGGGUGAGUAACACGUGGAUAACCUACCUAUAAGACUGGGAUAACUUCGGGAAACCGGAGCUAAUACCGGAUAAUAUAUUGAACCGCAUGGUUCAAUAGUGAAAGACGGUUUUGCUGUCACUUAUAGAUGGAUCCGCGCCGCAUUAGCUAGUUGGUAAGGUAACGGCUUACCAAGGCGACGAUGCGUAGCCGACCUGAGAGGGUGAUCGGCCACACUGGAACUGAGACACGGUCCAGACUCCUACGGGAGGCAGCAGUAGGGAAUCUUCCGCAAAGGGCGAAAGCUUGACGGAGCAACGCCGCGUGAGUGAUGAAGGUCUUCGGAUCGUAAAACUCUGUUAUUAGGGAAGAACGAAUGUGUAAGUAACUAUGCACGUCUUGACGGUACCUAAUCAGAAAGCCACGGCUAACUACGUG